rnacentral:piRNA from 1 species
AUCAAGAAGACAAGGAAUGUGUGAAACA